CUAUUAUUUUAGGCAGUGUUGGAUCCUCUCUGUUUCUUUUUGAUGCUUCUGCUCUUCGUAUAUCACAAGACUCGAGGUUUGCCGUGCUUUGAGAGUAAAACGGCCAGGAGAAAAGAUAAAAGAAUGGAUGUGAAUACCCCAGGCGGAGGGGCUGUCCAGAUGGAGGCAUUAAAUGACGAG